UACGGGGGGAGCAAGCGUUGUUCGGAUUUACUGGGCGUAAAGGGCGCGUAGGCGGUCAGCACAAGUCAGUUGUGAAAUCUCCGGGCUUAACUCGGAAAGGUCAACUGAUACUGUGCGACUAGAGUGCGGAAGGGGCAACUGGAAUUCUCGGUGUAGCGGUGAAAUGCGUAGAUAUCAGGAGGAACACCGGUGGCGAAGGCGGGUCUCUGGGCCGUAACUGACGCUGAGGAGCGAAAGCAUGGGGAGCGAACAGG
rnacentral:rRNA from 1 species